CCCUUAGACGUUCUGGGCCGCACGCGCGCUACACUGACCAGUGCAACAAGCAUCCGUCCUUGGCCGACAGGUCCGGGCAAUCUUUGAACGCUGGUCGUGAUGGGGAUAGACUUUUGCAAUUUUUGGUCUUCAACGAGGAAUUCCUAGUAAACGCAAGUCAUCAACUUGCAUUGAUUACGUCCCUGCCCUUUGUACACACCGCCCGUCGCACCUACCGAUUGAAUGGUCCGGUGAAGCCUCCGGAUUGGCGCGCACCUCGGUGCCGCCGAGAAGUUGGCUAAACCUUACCAUUUAGAGGAAGGUGAAGUCGUAACA
rnacentral:rRNA from 1 species